GACGAACGCUGGCGGCGUGCCUAAUACAUGCAAGUUGAGCGCUGAAGGUUGGUACUUGUACCAACUGGAUGAGCAGCGAACGGGUGAGUAACGCGUGUGGAAUCUGCCUUUGAGCGGGGGACAACAUUGGGAAACGAAUUCUAAUACCGCAUAAAAACUUUAAACACAGGUUUGAAGGUUGAAAGAUGCAAUUUCGUCACUCAAAGAUGAUCCCUCGUUUUAUUAGCUAGUUGGUGAGGUAAAGGCUCACCAAGGCGAUGAUACAUAGCCGACCUGAGAGGGUGAUCGGCCACAUUGGGACUGAGACCCGGCCCAAACUCCUAGGGGAGGCAGCAGUAGGGAAUCUUCGGCAAGAGACGAAAGUCUGACCGAGCAACGCCGAGGGAGUGAAGAAGGUUUUCGGAUCGUAAAACUCUGUUGGUAGAGAAGAACGUUGGUGAGAGUGGAAAGAUCAUCAAGUGACGGUAACUACUCAGAAAGGGACGGCUAACUACGUG
rnacentral:rRNA from 1 species